GGUCAGUGGUCAUGUUUGUUCCUAUGCGACCUGGCUGCGGGCCUCUGAGGAGGCCUUGGCAGGUAAUACUGGUUAAUUAUCUAAUAAAGCAAAGGCAGAUGGAGUCAGAUGGACCUCAGUAUAAAUUCCAGAUCUUACAAGCCACUAGACUGUGACAAGUCACCUAUCCCCUCUGUGUUGGGUUCCCUCCACGUUAAAGGAAGAUAAUAAUGAACGUACCUUGUGGUGUUAUUCCAAGGCUUUAGUAACAUGCUUCACAGGGCACUUGGCAUGCUGGAGGCUGGGCACCAGUCACAGCUCGGAUUCUAGGGCAGGACUCUUGCUCCUGGAGGAUGAGCAAGGAAGAUGCAGAGCCCCGACCUCUGGACCCUCAUUCUAGACCUUUCAGUGGGUUUGGGUUAAUAGAAGCCUGUCCACCAACACAGCACUGCAUCCUUGAGACUGACUUUCCAUACAAAGCUGGUGGAAGUUCAUGAGGUCACGUGCUUACCCCAGACCAAUAACUGCUACCAGGGAAGACCAAGCUCUGAUGGGCUUACCCUGACCAGCUCCCACCUCCUGAGCUGGGGCUGGGUCUGCAGGGGAGCAGAUACCUGAACAAAAUUGGAGUUUUGAUAACAACAAAGAAAAUAUAAUUUUACUUAAAGUGAUCCAAGGGACACUGAGUCAGCCAUUCAUGAAGCGGAACAUGGUGAAUGCCAAGGUGAAGAGCAGCCGCAUGAGAUCCUAAAGGAAAGCCUGGGAGUCACACAAGUGGAGUACAGCAGCAAACCCCCUCCACAGCCUGCCCUUGACUUUGGUCUUGCCAGGGAACAGUUGAUGCCGACAAGAUGACGCAGCGGGGAAGUGAAUAUCCUGUCUGCUCCUUGUUCGGUGCUGUCUGUGUGUCCUAGCUUGCCAAAGCAUCCCUUAAAAGCCCCUGGGUCCAAGCAUCCAGAUGCUCAGUGAACACAGUGCUCUAACUCCGUCUUCCACCUUCCAUUAAGAAGUCAAUGACUCUCAUUCAAUACAACUCCAUCUUCUGCUAACCCCUAAAAGGAAUUUACAUUCUGCUCAUUUCACUUCCCAUUAUAUUGUAUUAAUCUUCCCAACAUUAAACCUUUUAAACCCA